AUUGAACGCUGGCGGCAUGCUUUACACAUGCAAGUCGAACGGCAGCGCGGGCUUCGGCCUGGCGGCGAGUGGCGAACGGGUGAGUAAUGCAUCGGAACGUGCCCAGUAGUGGGGGAUAGCCCGUCGAAAGCCGGAUUAAUACCGCAUACGACCUGAGGGUGAAAGCGGGGGACCGAAAGGCCUCGCGCUAUUGGAGCGGCCGAUGUCGGAUUAGCUAGUUGGUGGGGUAAAGGCUUACCAAGGCGACGAUCCGUAGCUGGUCUGAGAGGACGACCAGCCACACUGGGACUGAGACACGGCCCAGACUCCUACGGGAGGCAGCAGUGGGGAAUUUUGGACAAUGGGGGCAACCCUGAUCCAGCCAUGCCGCGUGCGGGAAGAAGGCCUUCGGGUUGUAAACCGCUUUUGUUCGGGAAGAAAUUCUUUGGGCUAAUACCCCGGGGGGAUGACGGUACCGGAAGAAUAAGCACCGGCUAACUACGUG
rnacentral:rRNA from 1 species